rnacentral:snRNA from 1 species
GUCUCUUUAGAGACAUCCGAUAAAAUUGGAACGAUACAGAGAAGAUUAGCAUGGCCGCUUCGCAAGGAUUACACGCACAAAUCGAGAAAUGGUCCAAAUUUUG